UCCCUCCGGAUUCCAUAUCCCUCAAACCCAAAUAGUGGUCUGAGUGGCUGCAAACAAAGGAGGUAAAGUAAAACUGAAAUGGACUGGGGGACUUUAGUGACAACCAAGUGCAUCUCAAAUAAUA
rnacentral:snoRNA from 1 species